UCCACCUCCGCCCCACCUUCCCCAGCUAUCGGGAAGACUGAAUGCAUAAAAAAGUCAUGAUCGUGCAGGGAGCUCUACACACGUGAACCAUUCAUCUUACUGCUCUUCAGCUACUCCUCUGCCUUCAGGAUUCUUCUUCUUUGACCCCCAACCCCUGGAAGACCAUGCAGAAGGUGCUCCUACUAUUGCAGGGUCACCUGAAGAUCAUUGGGAGGAUGGAUGCCGAAAAGUGCUAGGAAAAAUGUUGAAAGCAUGCUCCGGAUGUAAGGGGAUCGUGCUGGGGAUUAGAUAGGGGCUCUCUUGGGCUGCACUAAAGUGUUUGUUUACACCCAGAUGGGCCCUGCUGGCGGGGAAAUUUAAAGGGAACGUGCUCAGUCAGAAAGCUGCUUGCCAAUCACAACUGAUCGAAACAUCUCCAAAAUAAGAAUGGACGUCCGUGGGAAACGGGGCCCCACUGACUGCUGUGAAAAUCCAACUACUUGGGUUUUCAGGAACGAGUUGAAGAGCAGCAAAGUGGGGCAGUGCUGUGGGCUCAACGUGGGGGCUCAGCCAGGAAAUGAAAGAGCCGAGCUGCUGCCUUUCCUGAGGCCAGGGUCCCCCGAGCUUGCCUCUCUCCCCCGUGGGGCUGGGCUUUCAGGAGUUAUCUGCAUGUCUGAGACUUCCCACAGGACAGUGGGAAAGGCCAGAUGAUCCCCUUCAGAGAAAAGUCUGGAGCGAGAACGAAGAGAACUGGAUACAGGAGGGGGGUGGGCACUAAACUUGGGAGUCAGGAAGAAGCCUGUGGGGCAGACCCACCCACUGACUUCUUAUCAGAGUACCACCUGCUUCUCCUCCCAAGGUAUCACCGGAGGGACACCAUGUAUCCCAAACCUCAAAACUAAGAAAAUCUUUGCUUUUUGCAAGAGAAUGUAUAGUAUGAAUCUCUACCUGGUCUCAUCUUUCUCUUUGCUUUGGCGGCCAGGAAGCCCAGGGUCAAAUGUGAAAUAGAAUUCUAACAACUAUGUAGGUUUGUAUUAUGGCCAGAAUGUUUGUGUUCUUGCUUUUUAUGAUCC